AUGACUUCCAGUUCUUUAGUGGUGACGUAUCUUUUCUCUCUGAAGACAGUAUUUACAGUUACUGGAAUUCCUUCCUGCUCUCCACCUGUCUUUGGUCUGUUUUCCUUUUCCCGUUUUGAUCUCUGUCCUUCAUGGUGCAUCCUCCUGUUGACUCUUGACCAUCUGUUCACAUGGGGCUGCUGUGGGGUGACCAGGCCGCGCAGCCUCCCUUGGCAGCUCUCAGCUCUCUGUAUCCAUCAGCAUUUUCUCUUGGUCUGGUCAGGUUUUCCCAGAGGGGACAGUCCGUUCUCCAGCCUGGGACAGAGGUCAGGGACACAUGUGCUCCCUCCCUGGGUUGGCUCUUUAUAUGUUUCCAUCAUUAUCUUCUAUGGAGUUCUUCAUUCCCACAUCUGUGGCCCUUAAAAUCCUAUGGUUGAGUGCCUGCCUUGGAUCAGCAGUCAGUUCGUUACCUUGGUUCUCAGACGAUGCUUGCAACAACGUCAUGCGAUUCGCCCACUCUUGGGUAGAUGGAGACAUUGGGGCUCAGGUGUGGGUAAGUGAUUGUGUGACUCCUUGUUAAGCGGCAGAACCGGGACUCAAAUUCACACAGAUCUGAUUCCCAACCCUGUGGCCCUAAGCACAGUGUUAUUAGACCA
rnacentral:lncRNA from 1 species